CUCACCUCAACUCACCUCAGUAUCUCCUCGCCGAUUUGUCUCUCCUCCCACAUCCGUCGCCUAAAUCCCAAAUCUACCCACACCAGUCGUCAUUCCUCUCAGUCAUCACUCCUCACCUGAAGCGCGCCUUUACCCACUGUCCUUACCAUCCGAAUUCGGCUCCUAAAUCUAGCUUUUGGUCUCAUUCCGCACUCCUCCUCACUGCAAAAGGUAAAAAAUUCCUGCAAUAAACUCAACCAAAGUUCAUAUAAAUUGUUUGAUUCCAAAUUCGAUUAGAAAAUUUGAAUUUGGGUUUCUGAAUUAGGAAUUUCUGAAAUUAGGGUUUCUGAAUUAGGGCUUUUGGAAUUAGUGAUUUUGAAUCGAUGGAGAGGUUGCAGAGGGAAUAUGAGAGGUUAAAGGGGGGAUGAGGGAACCUGACUUAAAUGUUUUCUGAAAUACCUUUUGCAAUCAGAGCUUUUUUCGUAAAUUUUGGCGAGGUACUGAGGUAGGUACCCCAUUCGUUCUUUUCGUAAAAUUUUCAAAUGGAUUUUAGUGAGGUACUCAGGUACCCCAUUCAUUCUUUUCGUAAAUUUUGUCACUGCAG
rnacentral:lncRNA from 1 species